UUUAGGUGGCACCAUGAGUUUCCGUGUCCAAUUUUAAUUGUUCGUCUUAUUUGAAUUUUUUUUAUAAUUAGUAUUUUUAUUGUUGUGAGAUGAUAAAACAUGAAUAUUAUUUUAUAUGCGACUUAUAUUUUUAAAAUUUUUUUAAAUAAGACAGACGAUCAAAAUUAAGCACGAAAAAGUAUGGCUGCAUUUAAA
rfam:Oryza nivara chromosome 4, whole genome shotgun sequence.